rnacentral:rRNA from 1 species
GCGGCGUGCCUAACACAUGCAAGUCGAACGGAGUUCUUAAGGAAUGCGACUUCGGUCAAAUGACUUUUGAACUUAGUGGCGGACGGGUGAGUAACGCGUGAGCAACCUGCCUUUCAGAGGGGGAUAACAUUUGGAAACAGAUGCUAAUACCGCAUAAGAUUACAGUACCGCAUGAUACAGUGAUCAAAGGAGCAAUCCGCUGAAAGAUGGGCUCGCGUCCGAUUAGAUAGUUGGUGAGGUAACGGCUCACCAAGUCGACGAUCGGUAGCCGGACUGAGAGGUUGAACGGCCACAUUGGGACUGAGACACGGCCCAGACUCCUACGGGAGGCAGCAGUGGGGAAUAUUGCACAAUGGGCGAAAGCCUGAUGCAGCAACGCCGCGUGAGGGAAGACGGUUUUCGGAUUGUAAACCUCUGUUUUCGGUGACGAAUAAAUGACGGUAACCGAGUAGGAAGCCACGGCUAACUACGUGCCAGCAGCCGCGGUAAUACGUAGGUGGCAAGCGUUAUCCGGAAUUACUGGGUGUAAAGGGAGCGCAGGCGGGAUAGCAAGUCAGCUGUGAAAACUAUGGGCUCAACCCAUAAACUGCAGUUGAAACUGUUAUUCUUGAGUGGAGUAGAGGCAAGCGGAAUUCCGAGUGUAGCGGUGAAAUGCGUAGAUAUUCGGAGGAACACCAGUGGCGAAGGCGGCUUGCUGGGCUCUAACUGACGCUGAGGCUCGAAAGUGUGGGGAGCAAACAGGAUUAGAUACCCUGGUAGUCCACACUGUAAACGAUGAUUGCUAGGUGUGGGGGGUCUGACCCCCUCCGUGCCGGAGUUAACGCAAUAAGCAAUCCACCUGGGGAGUACGGCCGCAAGGUUGAAACUCAAAUGAAUUGACGG